UACGUAUGGUGCAAGCGUUAUCCGGAUUUACUGGGUGUAAAGGGAGCGCAGGCGGAAGGCUAAGUCUGAUGUGAAAGCCCGGGGCUCAACCCCGGUACUGCAUUGGAAACUGGUCAUCUAGAGUGUCGGAGGGGUAAGUGGAAUUCCUAGUGUAGCGGUGAAAUGCGUAGAUAUUAGGAGGAACACCAGUGGCGAAGGCGGCUUACUGGACGAUAACUGACGCUGAGGCUCGAAAGCGUGGGGAGCAAAC
rnacentral:rRNA from 1 species